rnacentral:rRNA from 1 species
AAAUGAAUAGACGGGGGCCCGCACAAGCGGAGGAACAUGUGGUUUAAUUCGAUGAUACGCGAGGGACCUUACCCGGGCUUGAAAGUUAGCGACGGGGGCGGAGACGCCCCCUCCCCUCGGGGCGCGAAACUAGGUGCUGCAUGGUUGUCGUCAGCUCGUGCCGUGAGGUGUUGGCUCAAGUGCCAUAACGAGCGCAACCCCCGCCCGCAGUUGCCAUCGGGUCAAGCCGGGCACUCUGCGGGGACUGCCGCCGCAAGGUGCGAGGAAGGCGGGGACGACGUCAAAUCAGCACGGCCCUUACGUCCGGGGCCACACACGUGUUACAAUGGCGCGCACAGAGGGCAGCGACGGGGCGACCCGGAGCGAAUCCCCAAAGCGCGCCCUAGUUCGGACCGGGGUCUGCAACCCGACCCCGCGAAGCUGGAUUCGCUAGUAAUCGCGCAUCAGCCAUGGCGCGGUGAAUACGUUCCCGGGCCUUGUACACACCGCCCGU